rnacentral:rRNA from 1 species
GUAGUCUCGCACAGAUGCAUAUCAAUAAGCGGAGGAAAAGAAACCUAACAAGGAUUCCCCUAGUAACGGCGAGUGAAGCGGGAAGAGCUCAAAUUUGAAAUCUUAAAGGGUUUCCCUUUACGAAUUGUAGUUUAAAGAAGUGUUUUCUGUUGAGGUUUUGGUAAAAGUUCUUUGGAAUAGGACAUCAUAGAGGGUGAGAAUCACGUAUUUGACCUUUACUUUCAACUUUGUGAUACACUUUCAAAGAGUCGGAUUGUUUGGGAAUGCAGUCCAAAAUGGGUGGUAAAUUUCAUCUAAAGCUAAAUAUUGGCGAGAGACCGAUAGCGAACAAGUACCGUGAGGGAAAGAUGAAAAGAACUUUGAAAAGAGAGUUAAACAGUACGUGAAAUUGUCAAAAGGGAAGCGUUUGACACCAGUGUUGUUUUUCUGAAAAUCAAUUAAAGAACUGUUUAUGCUAAGCUUGUUUAGACUUUAUCAGCUAACUGUUUAGUUUUGAGCUUUUCUUUAAUGCACUUUUCAGUUAACAAGUCAACAUCAAUUUCUUUUGCUGUAAAAAAGCUUGAGGAAGGUGGCUUGAGAUUCGUCUUAAGUGUUUAUAGCCUCUUGCCUAUGCAGUCGGAGAGAUUGAGGUCUGCAGCGUAGAUCCUUCGGGGCUAAAUGCAUUUGUGCUAAGUUAUAGCAUUUUAUAGACAACUUGUUGACUAUGAUUUGUCUUGUAGCUUACUCGCUUAUGUUAUUUUACCUACGCUUAGGAUGUUGAAGACUCUACAGAGAUA